CUGGGCAGGAGCCUCCUGCUUCCCAGGUGAAGCUGCAGCCACCCAGCUGUGUGUGCGGACCCGGGCAUUUCUGUGCUCUUGGGGGCCAGGGACAGGCAGGGUCCCCGCCUCCUGGGGUGCAGCUACAGCCGCCCAAGCCAUGGCUACGGACCCAAGCAUCUCUGCACUCUCCGGGCCCGGGAAGCAGCCCCUUGCCCCAGCAGGCUCAGAAGUGCCUGCUCUCACUGCCUGGCCUCUCCCGGCGCCCUCUCCGAUCUCAGAGCAAAGUUGAGGCCAAGCCCAGAUAUUGAAGCUAUAAAGUUCUCUCUUAGCACUGCUUUGCUGUAUCUCACAGAUUUUGGUAGGCUGCAUUUCCAUGCUGAGGGAAUUCAUCACCACUAGACGGGACCUACAAGCAACACUCAAAGGUAUCUUAAACUUGGAAGUGAAAGGUAGAUGUUCACCAUCAUGAAGACACCUGAAAUUAUACAGAUCACUAGUAAAGCAAUUACACAAAGGAAGAGGAGAAAGGAAUCAAGUGGCACCACUUCAAAAUUCUACCAAGACGCAAAAACAGACAGAAAGAAACAAAGAAUUUAUAAAUUUUAAAUAAAAUUUUAGAUUUAUUAAAUC
rnacentral:lncRNA from 1 species